rnacentral:lncRNA from 1 species
CAACCCAUUCCAAUAUUCUUGCUUGGGAAAUCCCAUGGACAGAGGAGCCUCAUGGGCUGCAGUCCAUGGGGUCACACAAAGCCAAACAAAGCUGAGCAGGCACAUAUGCUGGAAGCUACAAGAGUCAGUUGGGCAGCUGAGCCUUAGCAACACCUGUGGCAAAUAUCCCCUGUGGUGUCUGACAUUCUGAGUCUCUCAGCUGCCUCGAUGGCCUCUGUCUUAGCACGCCCAGUGACCACCCACUCCUCUUUCUCUUGGUGCAGAGAGCACAGGACAGAGGAGGCGCUCUUACUUUCUCCCUUGAUCCCUUUUCAGUACAGGAACAUCAGAUGACAUGGCAUAUGGAAUGUUUAUCAGAACAUAGUCACAGUGAUAACUGGAAAAUUAGAAUUAACCUUAAUUGAGCACCGUUCACUAUGGGGGUGCUUUGCUGAAUCUCAGCCACUCUUCAAUAAGUAUUAUUAUUGUGCCUGUUGACAGGGCUUCUCUGGUAGCUCAGACAGUAAAGAAUCUGCCUGCAAUGUGGGAGACUCAGAUUCGAUCUGUAGAUGGGGAAGAUCCCCCGGAGCAAGGAAAUGGCAACCCACUCCAGUAUUCUCACCUGGAGAACUCUUUUUUAAAAAAAUAUAUAUUUGUUUUUAUUUAUUUCUUUGACUGCGUUGGGUCUUAGUUGCAGCAUGUGGGAUCUACUUCCNNNNNNNNNNNNNNNNNNNNNNNNNNGCUGCGUUGGGAGCAUGGAGCCUUAGCCACUGGACCACCAGGGAAGUCCCCCUGACCCAGAGAAUUCUAUGGACACAAGGAGUCCCACAGGACUGAGCGACUAACACUUUCACUUUCUUUCAUUGUGCCUGUUGAUCAGUGGGUGAGGCAGGUCUUAGAGCAGAAAGAACUUGCCCCAGUGACACGGUUAGUCACCAGGGCCUGGGUGGGUGGGGGGAGCCGGAUGUUCACCUAGGUGAUCUCUCUGACAAUUUUAACCACCGCCAAGACUCAGGUUCUAAGUAGUCUGGCGCUUUGUCUGUACGUUUGGCUUCAGGGACUGCAGACCGACCCAGGGUUUCACAAGGUGCGUGUCCGUGUGCCCACCUCUGCCCUGCAGACCUGCCCUGCAUUUCCGCAUUCUGCUUCAUGCUCCCGGGCAUCAGGGGUCCCCUCGUGUCAUGUGGCUGCUGCCUUCCGCUCAGCACCCCACCUCUGGGUUCUGCCUUCCCUGGAGGCUGGUAGCGCCUGCCUUGGCAGCCCCAGGAAUCACACUAAUCCUUGGUUUCACUCCACCCAGCCCACACCCUUGGUAAACAGACCUUUUAUUCAACUCUCCUGCCUUUUCCUGUUUUGCGUGUGCCAUUUGUUUCCUCCUGGGACCCUAACUGAUCCAGUCUUCAUGGGUGUUCCUCAACCCUGACCUGGUUCUGCCCUUAAGUCACACCCCUGCCUCCCUAGAAACCUCCCCUCCCUUCCCCAGGUCAGGUUCAACUCUGCCUCCUUCCUGAGUCCUGUACUCAGGGUGGCCUUGUGAGGGUGGGGCCUCAGGAGCAGAGGCCGGACCACCUCCAGGUCUGGCUCAGUCCCUCCACCUGGUGGGGCUCUGGUCCCGUCUCUUUGGAACUGACUGCAUCUCUCCAGGACAUACACUAAUUGCUUUCUCAGAGACAGCAUAGCCUCAGUUCAGUUCAGUUCAGUCGCUCAGUCGUGCCCGACUAUUUGCCACCCCAUGAAUUGCAGCAUGCAAUGCCUCCCUGUCCAUCACCAACUCCAGGAGUUCACUCAGACUCAUGUCCAU